rnacentral:rRNA from 1 species
AUUGAACGCUGGCGGCAGGCCUAACACAUGCAAGUCGAACGAGUGGCGGACGGGUGAGUAAUGUCUGGGAGAAUGCCCGAUGGAGAGGGAUAACUCCUGGAAACGGUAGCUAAUACCGCAUACCACCGCAUGUGCCCCGAUGGGAUUAGCUAGUGGUGGGGGUAACGGCUCACCUAGGCGACCAUCCCUAGCUGGUCUGAGAGGAGGACCAGCCACACGUGAACUGAGACACGGUCCAGACUCCUACGGGAGGCAGCAGUGGGGAAUAUUGCACAAUGGGCGCAAGCCUGAUGCAGCCAUGCCGCGUGUAUGAAGAAGGCCUUCGGGUUGUAAAGUACUUUCAGCGAGGAGGCGUUACUCGCAGAAGAAGCACCGGCUAACUCCGUGCCAGCAGCCGCGGUAAUUC